CCUACGGGAGGCAGCAGUGAGGAAUAUUGGUCAAUGGGCGCGAGCCUGAACCAGCCAAGUAGCGUGAAGGAUGACUGCCCUACGGGUUGUAAACUUCUUUUAUAAGGGAGUAAAGUAUGGCAUGUAUACCUUUUUGUAUGUACUUUAUGAAUAAGGAUCGGCUAACUCCGUGCCAGCCGCCGCGGUAAUACGGAGGAUCCGAGCGUUAUCCGGAUUUCUUGGGUUUAAAGGGAGCGUAGAUGGGUUGUUAAGUCAGUUGUGAAAGUUUGCGGCUCAACCGUAAAAUUGCAAUUGAUACUGGCAGCCUUGAGUACAGUUGAGGUAGGCGGAAUUCGUGGUGUAGCGGUGAAAUGCUUAGAUAUCACGAAGAACUCCGAUUGCGAAGGCAGCCUACUAAACUGCCACUGACAUUGAUGCUCGAAAGUGUGGGUAUCAAACAGGAUUAGAUACCCUUGUAGUC
rnacentral:rRNA from 1 species